GUACUAUUAUCUUCUCUAUCAUUUCUUAUGUUGCUUGUGUUUCUUAUGCACAGUUCUAGCACAUCCGGAUCCAGGCAUAUCUUGGAAAAACGUGAAGAUAAUGUUAUACAAUUUUUUAGUUUGCAACACUUAUUCUCAAUUUCUUGGGGCAUGGGCCUGCAAUGUGAGCAUUCACACCAUGGAGGAACAGCCUCACCAUCUAUGGUUCAGCCUUGUUGCUGACCAGACUGACUUCUUUCACCUCUUUCAGAGACACCCUCCUGUGACUGCUCUCUUUCUUGCUUCGCCUGCCA